rnacentral:rRNA from 1 species
UACGAAGGGGGCUAGCGGUGUUCGGAAUUACUGGGCGUAAAGCGCACGUAGGCGGACUUGUUAGUCAGGGGUGAAAUCCCGGGGCUCAACCUCGGAAUUGCCUUUGAUACUGCAAGUCUCGAGUCCGGAAGAGGUGAGUGGAAUUCCUAGUCUAGAGGUGAAAUUCGUAGAUAUUAGGAAGAACAUCAGUGGCGAAGGCGGCUCACUGGUCCGGUACUGACGCUGAGGUGCGAAAGCGUGGGGAGCAAACAGG